rnacentral:rRNA from 1 species
GACGAACGCUGGCGGCGUGCCUAAUACAUGCAAGUAGAACGCAGUUGCGAACGGGUGAGUAACGCGUAGGUAACUGCCUCAUAGCGGGGGAUAACUAUUGGAAACGAUAGCUAAUACCGCAUACUUUGAGCUGGACCUGCGUUGUAUGUGGUAGUUGGUUAGGUAAAGGCUCACCAAGGCCACGAUACCUAGCCGACCUGAGAGGGGGGUCGGCCAAAAGGGUAAUGGGGACCGGCCCAGACUCCCACGGGAGGCAGCAGUAGGGAAUCUUCGGCAAUGGACGGAAGGCUGAACGAGCAAAGCCGCGGGAGUGAAGAAGGUUUUCGGAUCGUAAAGCUCUGUUGUGAGAGAAGCGUUAACUAACCAGAAAGGGACGGCUAACUACGUGCCAGCAGCCGCGGUAAUAC